rnacentral:rRNA from 1 species
GAUGAACGCUGGCGGCGUGCUUAACACAUGCAAGUCGAACGAAGCAUAAGAGUUGCUUGCAACACUUAUGACUUAGUGGCGGACGGGUGAGUAACGCGUGGGUAACCUACCCUGUACAGGGGGAUAACAGUUAGAAAUGACUGCUAAUACCGCAUAAGCACACACUGUCACAUGACAGAGGGUGAAAAGAUUUAUCGGUACAGGAUGGGCCCGCGUCUGAUUAGCUAGUUGGUGAGGUAAAGGCUUACCAAGGCGACGAUCAGUAGCCGGUCUGAGAGGAUGAACGGCCACAUUGGGACUGAGAUACGGCCCAGACUCCUACGGGAGGCAGCAGUGGGGAAUAUUGGGGCAAUGGGGGAAACCCUGACCCAGCAACGCCGCGUGAAGGAAGAAAGGCCCUCGGGUUGUAAACUUCUUUUACCAGGACGAAGAACGUGACGGUACCUGGAGAAAAAAGCAACGGCUAACUACGUGCCAGCAG